GGUCCUAUAGUGUAGUUGGUUAUCACCCAAGGUUUUGAUUGUUACAAAAAACUUCCUUGUAACUCCGGUUCGAAUCCGGAUAGGACCU